rnacentral:tRNA from 1 species
UCCCUGGAGGACUAGUGUUUAGGCGAUGGUGCUCUCACCACUGCGGCCCAGGUUCGAUUCCUAGCCAGGGUA